rnacentral:snRNA from 1 species
GAUACGCUUGUGGAGACGUCGCU